AUGACUGCUCCUCAGACCUGGCUCUCUGACCAUCAGACAUCAAAUCCGAGACCCCYGGUUCCAGGGAUUUGUAUGCAUGGCUGGGCUUCAGAGCCCUGGGCAAGAAUGCGUGAGCUGCUGUCCUCCGAACAACCRUCGCGACGGGGUGAUAAUUGUUUCCUCCGUUUGGCAAAUCCCGGUUGUCUCCCUUCCUCCGUUUCGGCUGGCGGGAGAGGCGCCCAUCUUCCUGAGCAUGCUUCUGUGCUCCGCCAAGGAGCAGAGCUCGAGCACUCAGAGCGGGACCGGCCGGAGCAAACAGCACGACGCGCCAGCACCGUAGGGACCCGCGCUGAGUUUUGCGCUGGGAGAAGCUCCUGCCGCGGUUCCCACCAGCACUCCUCCAGCCUGGCCCCAGCACCAAGAGCAGGUUGGCAAGCGCAGCUCUGCUCCUCCCAAGCACCUCUCGGCCUUGCCGGUGGGGCAGAGCCCCCAUCUCUGURGGAAGAAGCAAUGUGGAGACAUCAGGACCUCCAGCCCGGUGGCAGGGAGAACAUCAGUAGCUGCGGUGGCCAUCACACAGCUGGGAGACGACACCGCUCUGUUGGCCGAAAGCCUCGGCAAGAAGCCCACGAGCUCGAGGCCGUGCAAGGGGCAGCGGGAACUGCUGGCAUCCCGCCGGGCACAGCCUUGGUGCGGCAGGAGCGUGCGCAGCCAAGGCGUUCGGAGAGGCCGGGGCUUGCCACGUGGUGGGGUUGGUGGGGCGCCGCCGUUGACUCCAGCUGGUUGGGAGCGUUCCCGGUGCCGAUGGAUGCCUGUUCCUCUCCUCUCCCCACCGCAGGUUGCCAGGUAACAACCUGCCAGGGAAAUGCUGGGAGACUUGGAAAGCUGUCGCGAAGCAGCAUCUCCCCGCUGCAAGGAGAGGUCGUUAUCCGCUACGGGGAUCCUUCCCCAGCUCGUCCCCCGUGUCCGGGAGCGAUGGGGAGGCAGCAGUGUUGGUGCUUGGAGGCUGGAAAAUGGAUAAACGCARCUCCUGGGCAAAACCGCAGGAGCUUGGUGUGUUAA
rnacentral:lncRNA from 1 species